rnacentral:rRNA from 1 species
AUUGAACGCUGGCGGCAGGCCUAACACAUGCAAGUCGAGCGAGCGGCGGACGGGUGAGUAAUGUCUGGGAAACUGCCUGAUGGAGGGGGAUAACUACUGGAAACGGUAGCUAAUACCGCAUACCCUCAGAUGUGCCCAGAUGGGAUUAGCUAGUAGGUGGGGUAACGGCUCACCUAGGAGACGAUCCCUAGCUGGUCUGAGAGGAUGACCAGCCACCCUGUAACUGAGACACGGUCCAGACUCCUACGGGAGGCAUCAGUGGGGAAUAUUGCACAAUGGUCGCAAGCCUGAUGCAGCCAUGCCGCGUGUGUGAAGAAGGCUUUCGGUUUGUAAAGCACUUCCAGCGGGGAGGCGUUACCCGCAGAAGAAGCACCGGCUAACUCCGUGCCAGCAGCCGCGGUAAUAC